rnacentral:rRNA from 1 species
UUGCACGCUGGCGGAAUGCUUUACACAUGCAAGUCGAACGGCAGCACGGGGGCAGCCCUGGUGGCGAGUGGCGAACGGGUGAGUAAUACAUCGGAACGUGCCCGGUCGUGGGGGAUAACGUAGCGAAAGUUACGCUAAUACCGCAUACGAUCUGAGGAUGAAAGCGGGGGACCUUCGGGCCUCGCGCGAUCGGAGCGGCCGAUGUCAGAUUAGGUAGUUGGUGGGGUAAAGGCCUACCAAGCCGACGAUCUGUAGCUGGUCUGGGAGGACGACCAGCCACACGGGGCGUGAGACGCGCCCAGGCCCCGUCGGGGAGGAGGCGGGGGGGAUUUUGGGACAAGGGGCGCAGGCCGUACCCAGCCUUCCGGCGGGCAGAACAAGGCCUUCGGGGUGGUAAACUGUUUUUGUAGGAAAGAAAAAGGUUCGGGCAAAUACGGGGGGCUCAUGAGGGUAGCUAAAAAAAAAGCCCCGGCUAACUCCGUG